GAGCUGUGUUGCUACAGUUGGAUUUAUCUAAAUCGAGGGCUGGUUAUCUAUACUGUCACCGUGAUUUCGUUGGAUGGAUAUGAUAAGGAUAAAUUAAAAGUGAUAGGAGGUAAUAGUGAGCUGAGACUGAAUUAAUAAGGAUAAAG